CUGCAGGCAAUCUGCCAGAUUCCGGAACUGAUAGCGGCUGCUCUCAGAGGUAACAAGUACACGUGCCACUGCAGGGGAACAGUUCUGCCAUGGUGAUUGCUGGCAACCUUGCACAUGGCCAAAGCUUGAGCUGCAGCUGACCAAAGUCUUCAUAGGAAUGGAACGCUUCGGGAUCCAUGAGAGUGUGGGAGGCUGGUGAGGAGCUACUACCGAGCUACUGCCCACUUGCCUGCCUGUCUCCCCCUAGGAGGCUGUCACAAGACACUUCUCUUCGCCUCCAGUUCUGAUGAGAUAGGAGGCUUUCUGCCUCCUCCCCUACACACAUGCACCCCUUAGGGCACAGCUUCAUUUUUUUUUUUUUUGAGACAGGGUCUCACUCUGGCACCCAGGCUGGAGUCCAGUGGCACAAUGACGGCUCACUGCAGCCUCAACAUCCCAGGCUGAAGCGAACAUCCCGGGCUCAAGGGAUCCUUCCACCUCAGCCUCUCAAGUAGCUGAGACUACAGGCGGGCACAGCUUCAAGCUACAAAACUGCUUCACUGCAGCAUGGUAUUCGCUCCUCAGCCACAGGGUGUCCUGUCCCUUGGGUUGUGGUCAUCUGGCCUCUGUUUGAGUCAUCUUGAGCAAGGGCCACAGGGAGCCAGCAUCUUUGGCUGCUCUUCCUCGCACUGUCUAUGGAAGUCAUACACUCUCCGAAUCUAAAAAAGGCUCAUUGUUUCUUUACAGGCUGUAACUGUUAGGCCUUGCUUAUGCUUGACAGGUAAAAAAUUUUACAGUUAUGUAAAUGGUUUAUUUACAUGGAAAUGUCUUUCACUCUUGUCUCUCAGCCACCAAGUUUGUCUUAUCUCUCUAUUCCUCCAGGCAGUCACUGUAUCCAGGGUGUUCCUUUCAGAUAUAGAUAUCUCUCUACACAGAUAGGGAUAUAAAUAUAGAUACAGAUAUUCAGAAAUAGAUAUUUCAGGCUGGGCACGGUGGCUCACACCUGUAAUCCCAGCACUUUGGGAGGCUGAGGUGUGCAGAUCAUGAGGUCAGGAGAUCGAGACCAUCCUGGCUAACAUGGUGAAACCCCGUCUCUACUAAAAAAUACAAAAAAUUAGCCGGGCGUGGUGGUGGGAACCUGUAGUCCCAGCUACUCGGGAGGCUGAGGCAGGAGAAUGGUGUGAACCUGGGAGGCGGAACUUGCAGUGAGCCGAGAUCGGGCCACUGCACUCCAGCCUGGGUGACAGAGCGAGACUCCAUCUCAAAGAAAAAAAAAAAAGAUAUUUCAGAGAUAUAGAUAUGUAAAAAACAAAUGGUAGCUUAUAAACUCUCCUGUGUCUUCCUCUUUCAAUUCAUCUAUUGUAAAGAGUGCUCCACGUCAUGAGAAUGUCAAGAGCUCUACACUCACGUGGCACACGGCACAGUACGAUGCGACUGGCCACACCAUCAUUUAUUUGCUAUUCUAAAUAAUGCUGCAAAGAUUCUACUUCUGCACACCCGAGAUAGUCUCUUUACUUUAAUUGGGCUGGAGAGAUCUGGAAGGAAUGUGUGAAGGAUUAGAGAAAUGACUGAUUUUUUUUUUUUCGUCUGAGACAGAGUCUCGCUGUGUCGCCCAGGCUGGAGUGCAGUGGUGCGAUCUCAACUCACCACAACCUCUGCUUCCCAGGCUCAAGUGAUUCUUGUGCCUCAGCCUUCCGAGUAGCUGGGAUCACAGGCGCCCACCACCACACCCGGCUAAUUUUUGUAUUUUUAUUUAUUUAUUUUUGAGACAGAGUCUUACUCUGUUGCCCAGGCUGGAGUGCAAUGGCAGGAUCUCAGCUCACUGCAACCUCUGCCUUCCGGGUUCAAGCAAUUCUUCUGCCUCAGCCUCCCAAGUAGCUGGGAUUACAGGCCCUCGCCACCACACCCGGCUAAUUUUGUAUUUUUAGUAGAGAUGGGGCUUUGCCAUGUUGGCCAGGCUAGUCUUGAACUCCUGACCUCGGAUGAUCCAGCUGCCUUGGCCUCCCAAAAUGUUGGAAUUAUAGGCGUGAGCCACUGCGCCUGGCCUAAUUUUUGUAUUUUUAGUAGAGAUGGGGUUUCACCAUGUUGGCCAUGCUGGUCUCAAACUCCUGGCCUCAAGUGAUCUACCCACCUUGGCCUCCCAUAUUGUUGGGAUUACAGGUAUGAGACACCAUGCCCGGCCAACAGGCAUGAUUUUUUUUUUUUAAUUUUUAAUUUUUUCCAGAUAGAGUUUUGCUCUCGUUGCCCAGGCUGGAGUGCAAUGGCACAAACUCGGCCCACUGCAACCUCCACCUCCUGGGUUCAAGCGAUUCUCCUGCCUCAGCCUCCCAAGUAACUGGGAUUACAGGCACAUGCCACCACGCAGCCAACUGAUUUUUAAGAAAACAAAAUUACUUACCUAGAGGGAUGUCACUGUCGGCUUGCUUUGCACCAUUCUGUAAUGUAAUGUACACAGUGUCAAAUAAAUAUUACCUGCUGGGUGACUCCUAACUGGUUCAAGGCAACAAAGAAAUGAUGUAAAGCCACAACACAAACAUUGUACAUUAGUAUUUUCAGGUCCCCUGCAAAAUGAUAUCACGAUGACAGAAAAAGCAUCCUCAGACUCCAGAGGUACCACCUCAGAAACACUCCUCUACGAAAAUGGAUCUGAUGUCUCCAGCCUUCCCUGCCCUAGCCUUAGCUAGUGUCAGGCACCAUCAGAGGCCUGGCUCCAGCGGGAGGGGGAGCCACAGUGCACAUGCAUCAGGGAACCUCCAAAAGCAACACCCUCUGUCAACCUGGAGCAACAAGCCUGGUGGGCCACCCUGUUCUUUCCGGGGCCACAGGAGACUCCCACACAAGGCAGUCCACCUUGGACAGUGACUAUAAUUGCACCCUGAGGGUUUCUGUCAAACUAACUACUCACUCCAGGACUUCUCACCUCCAUGUCUCUCUCUCUCUUGCUGUUCCUCAAGCAGCAACGCCCUUCAGCCUUAAAUCUUUGUAUCCACAAGGCCCAGUGCAAACGCCACCCACUCCGAGGCUUUUCUGGCCCUCCAGGCUCAAAGCAUCAGUAUCCUCAGGUGCACUCCCGACUGCCUUCAUUUCUUUUUUUUUUGAGAUGGAGUCUCGCUCUGUAGCCCAGGCUGGAGUACAAUAGUGCGAUCUCAGCUCACUGCAACCUCCGCCUCUUGGGUUCAAGUGAUUCUCCUGCCUCAGCCUCCUGAGUAGCUGGGAUUACAGGCGCAUGCCACCAUGCCUAGCUAUUGUUGUUUUUUUUUUUUGUAUUUUUAGUAGAGAUGGGGUUUCACCAUGUUGGCCAGACUGGUUUCGAGCUCCUGACCUCAAGAGAGCUGCCCGCCUUGGCCUCCCAAAGUGCUAAGAUUACAGGCGUGAGCCACCACGCCCAGCCUGUCUUCAUUUCUUUUAUCUUAGAAUUAUUUGGGAGUUGGCCGGGUGCAGUGGCUCACGCCGUAAUCCCAGCACUUUGGGAGGCCGAGACGGGUGGAUCACUUCAAGUCAGGAGUUGGAGACCAGCCUGGACAACAUGGUGAAACCUCCCCUCUACUAAAAAUACAAAAUUAGCUAGGCAUGGUGGCACACACCUGUAAUCCUAGCUACUGGGGGAGGCUGAGGCAGGAUUGCUUGAACCCAGGAGAUGGAGGUUGCAGUGAGCUGAGAUCAGGACACUGCACUCCUGCCUGGGACACUGCACUCCAGCCUGGGUGACAGCUAACGAGACUUUGUCUCAGAAAAAAAGAAAAAAGAAAAAGAAAAAGAAUUAUUUGGGGAUGAAACCCUUAUCCUACUCCACCUGUCUGCAGCACUGAAGAUCAUGGGCCACACCCUCCUUCCUGAAGCAUGUUCCUUCUGUUCCUUCUGAAAUUUUCCUCUUACCUUCCUAGGACUCUUUCUCACUCUCCUUUGCUAGCUCUUAGCAACUUUUAAACACUGACAUGCCCUUGAAAUACUUCUCUCUCUCUCCUCUUUCUUUCUCUAGAAUACUUCAUCUAUGCUGAUGAAAAUAGCCAGUUUUUCGUUUUUGUUUUGAGAUGGAGUCUUAAGGUUGUCGCCCAGGUUGGAGUGCAGUGGUGCAAUCUCGGCUCACUGCAACCUCUGCCUCCUGGGUUCAAGCGAUUCUCCUGCCUCAGCCUCCUGAGUAGCUGGGACUACAGGCGUGUGCCACCACGCCCGACUAAUUUUUGUAUUUUUAGUAGAGACGGGGUUUUGCCAUGUUGGCCAGGCUGGUCUCGAACUCCUGACCUCAAGUGAUCUACCCUUGGCCUCUCAAAGUGCUGGGAUUAUAGGCAUGAGCCACUGCGCCUGGCCAGAAAAUAGCCUGUUUUUGACACCCAACUUUCUGGCUCAAACUCAAACCUUUCUUCUCAACUCCACACCCAUAUACCCAACUGCUACUCAACGUCUCUUCUCAGAUGUCUAAUGGACCCAAACCUUAAGCCGCCUCAGAGGACUUCCCUUACUAAUAAUCUGAGGUAGCCUCAGCACUUUGUUGCAGCACCCUGGCCUAUUCAUUACACUACUUCUCACUACCUGAUAUUUUCCCUAUUUGUUUACUGUCUGCUCCUUCCAUUAGAAUUAAGCUCCAUGAAGGAGAGAGAUCCUGUAUUUUGUUUAUCAUGGCUGUAUAUGCUAGACUCAAGUAGUAGUAGACACAGUAGAUAUACAAUAAACAUUUUAUUGAAUGAAUGAACAAAUGAAUGCUAUUGCCACUCUCUCAUCUCAGUUAAUAGCAACUCAAUCCUUUCACUGCUCAAGGCCCCAGACUUGGCUGGGCAUGGUGGCUCACGCCUGUAAUCCCAGCACUUUGGGAGGCUGAGGCGAGCAGAUCAUUUGAGGUCAGGAGUUUGAGACUAGCCUGGCCAACAUGGUGAAAACCCUGUCUCUACUAAAAAUGCAAAAAUAUGAGUCGGGCAUGGUGGUGCAUGCCUGUAAUCCCAGCUACUCGGGAGGCUGAGGCACAAGAAUCACUUGAACCCAGGAGGCGGAGGUUGCAGUGGGCUGAGAUCACGCCACUGCACUCCAGCCUGGAUGACAGAGUAAGACCCUGUCUCAAAAAAAAAAAAAAAAAAAAGCCUGGCGCGGUGGCUCACGCCCGUGAUCAAGACCAACCUGGCUAAUACGGUGAAACCCCCUCUCUACUAAAAAAAAAAAAAAAAAAAAUUAGCCGGUUGUAGUGGUGGGCGCCUGUAGUCCCAGCUACUCAGGAGACUGAGGCAGGAGAAUGGCGUGAACCCGGGAGGCGGAGCUUGCAGUGAACAGAGAUUGCAUCACUGCACUCCAGCCUGGGCGACAGAGUGAGACUCCGUCUCAAAAAAAAAAAAAAAAAAAAAAAAGGCCCCAGACUUCAAUUCCUCUUUUAUUCUCACUUCUCACAUCCAAUCAAUUAGCAAAUCUUGCAGGCUUUCUUUCCAAAAUACGUCUAGGAUCUGACCAAUUCUCAUGACUCCUACUGCUUCCACCCUGCUUAUCAUCUCUUGCCCUACAUUGCAAUCUCCUUACUUGUCUCCCUGAUCUUGGCAUCCUCUAUCUGUUCUCUGUAAGGCUCUCUGAGUGAUCCUUGUAAAACUAAGAUAAUUCCAUUCUGCUUCAAGCUCUCCAAUAGGUCUCCCUUGCGUUCAGAGGAAAGGCUGGAGGCCAUUAAGUCCUAGUAACAGGCCUUUCCCCAGCCAUCCCUCUCUUUGGCUUUGUCUCCUGACCCCUGCUGAGCCACACCUGGGGAUUGCUACUGCCUUCAGGUUAUUGCACUUUCUCUUCCCUCUGCCUAGGAUGCUCAUCCGCCCCCUAUUCUCAUGACUUGCUGUCUGGCUUCUUCCAGGUCGUUAUUCAAAUGCCACCUCAUUGACAGCGUUCCUAGACAAUCCUACUUAAAAUUGCAACCCUACUUCCUACCUCUGGCACUACUUCUUCCUUCUUGGCUUUAUUUUCUGCAAAGUACUACCUCACACAUUCUAUAUUAGUCAUUUACUUACUGCUUGUCUCCCUCCACUAGAACAUAAGCUCCACAAGCUUUAGAAUUUCAAUUUUGUUUGCUACUCCAUCCCCUAGCCUAGCACAGCUUUUGUUGAGUGAGUGAGUGAAUUAAUGAACAAAUGAAUGGAUAUUCUUUUCCAGUCCUGUAAGUGGAAGCUCAAUGGGUUUGGGUGGGUCUUAUCUCUCUUGCUCCGGGGCUUGAUUCAAUGCCUGCACACAGCUGGCUAAAUAAAUGCAUCCUGAAGGAACGACAGAGAAGCUGUUUUAUUCGCGCGUCCUGGGGUUACUAGAGACAAUGGACACUGUAACGUCCCAAAGGGUAGCAAACAACUUGGCAGCCUCUUGCCUUUAUUGUCCGCCUUGGAGGGCCAGAAUGCCCGUAUUUCCCCUUGGGACUGGAAUUUGGUCUUGAGGGCCAAGGACACGAACGUAGAAAAGCUGGCAGCCUUGAAAGAAGCAUACCCAGCCGGCCUUCCGGGCUCCUGCACAUCUCGCGCUACAGCGAGCACCCCACUCCCGGCCAGGUUAGCGCAGACAGCCAGCCCCCUCCCGCGGCGACCAUCACGUAGCCCCCCGACGUAGCUCCACAUCCGGCCAAUGGGCCUGGGGUUCCUAACGUCACCCAGCAGCCUGACAAAACGCCCCUUCCGUCCAGUCCUUCCCGGCUCACCGGGACCCUCCAGGCGGUGUCCGAGCCCUGAGAUUCGGGGUAGAGCUUGUCCAGGCUGUAGA
rnacentral:lncRNA from 1 species